GUCCUUUUGUUUAUAUGGAAGGUCUAGCCUGCCCAGUGAUAUAUUUAAAUGGCCGCGGUAUUUUGACCGUGCGAAGGUAGCAUAAUCAUUAGUCUCUUAAUUGUGGGCUUGUAUGAAUGGUUGGAUGAAAGAAGAACUGUCUCUACUAGUCAGAUUGAACUUUACUUUUGAGUGAAAAGGCUUAAAUAACAAAGGAGGACGAUAAGACCCUAUAGAUCUUUAUGUGAUUCUUAAUUUAUUAUUUUUGUAAAAUAGUCUGUCUAUUAAAUUUCACAUUACGUUGGGGCGACGACUAAAUAAUUAAAACUUUUGUUUACUUACUGCACUCAUCUGUGUACUUAUGAUCCUAUUUUUGGAUUAAAGGAAUAAGUUACCUUAGGGAUAACAGCGUAAUCUUUUUUGAGAGUUCCUAUCGACAAGAAGGGUUGCGACCUCGAUGUUGGAUUAAGAAGUCACUUGGGCGAAGGGGUUCUUGUGGAAGGUCUGUUCGACCUUUAAAUUCUUACGUGAUCUGAGUUCA
rnacentral:rRNA from 1 species